rnacentral:rRNA from 1 species
UGGGGGAUAUUGCACAAUGGGCGAAAGCCUGAUGCAGCGACGCCGCGUGGGGGAUGAAGGCCUUCGGGUUGUAAACUUCUUUUGCUCUGAACAAGGCGCACCAUGGGGUGUGUUGAGUGUAGGGGUUGAUUAGCGCCGGCUAACUACGUGCCAGCAGCCGCGGUAAUACGUAGGGCGCGAGCGUUGUCCGGAAUUAUUGGGCGUAAAGGGCUUGUAGGUGGCUGGUUGCGUCUGUCGUGAAAGCUCAUGGCUUAACUGUGGGUUUGCGGUGGGUACGGGCUGGCUUGAGUGCAGUAGGGGAGGCUGGAAUUCCUGGUGUAGCGGUGGAAUGCGCAGAUAUCAGGAGGAAUACCGGUGGCGAAGGCGGGUCUCUGGGCCGUUACUGACACUGAGGAGCGAAAGCAUGGGGAGCGAACAGG